CCCAGCUUGCUGGGUGGAUUAGUGGCGAACGGGUGAGUAACACGUGAGUAACCUGCCCUUAACUCUGGGAUAAGCCUGGGAAACUGGGUCUAAUACCGGAUAGGAGCGUCCACCGCAUGGUGGGUGUUGGAAAGAUUUAUCGGUUUUGGAUGGACUCGCGGCCUAUCAGCUUGUUGGUGAGGUAAUGGCUCACCAAGGCGACGACGGGUAGCCGGCCUGAGAGGGUGACCGGCCACACUGGGACUGAGACACGGCCCAGACUCCUACGGGAGGCAGCAGUGGGGAAUAUUGCACAAUGGGCGCAAGCCUGAUGCAGCGACGCCGCGUGAGGGAUGACGGCCUUCGGGUUGUAAACCUCUUUCAGUAGGGAAGAAGCGAAAGUGACGGUACCUGCAGAAGAAGCACCGGCUAACUACGUGCCAGCAGCCGCGGUAAUACGUAGGGUGCGAGCGUUAUCCGGAAUUAUUGGGCGUAAAGAGCUCGUAGGCGGUUUGUCGCGUCUGUCGUGAAAGUCCGGGGCUUAACCCCGGAUCUGCGGUGGGUACGGGCAGACUAGAGUGCAGUAGGGGAGACUGGAAUUCCUGGUGUAGCGGUGGAAUGCGCAGAUAUCAGGAGGAACACCGAUGGCGAAGGCAGGUCUCUGGGCUGUAACUGACGCUGAGGAGCGAAAGCAUGGGGAGCGAACAGGAUUAGAUACCCUGGUAGUCCAUGCCGUAAACGUUGGGCACUAGGUGUGGGGACCAUUC
rnacentral:rRNA from 1 species